rnacentral:rRNA from 1 species
CGGGGUGAGUAAUGCUUGGGAAUCUAGCUUAUGGAGGGGGAUAACUACGGGAAACUGUAGCCAAUACCGCGUAGUAUCGGAAGAUGAAAGUGUGGGACCUUCGGGCCACAUGCCAUAGGAUGAGCCCAAGUGGGAUUAGGUAGUUGGUGAGGUAAAGGCUCACCAAGCCGACGAUCUCUAGCUGGUCUGAGAGGAUGACCAGCCACACUGGGACUGAGACACGGCCCAG